rnacentral:lncRNA from 13 species
ACCCGCGGUGCCGCGCUCAAUGUCAGGGCCAAGGCAGGGGAGGACCAGGGGAGGGGGCAGGCCGUGGUUCCCAGCACUGCCCUCACCUGGUAUUUACUUUCCAGGCUGUUGGCUCCUAAACAAUACAGUGCAUGCCGAUUUGCAGGAUACCUUCCGUCUAGUUUCCCAGUAAACCACUCCCAUCAAGCAAACACGCAGGGUUCCCCUGGCCCGCGCGGACCUGGAAAAACACAGCGUUUGGCUGGCCUCCCCGGCUGGCCUGCCCUGCCGCCUCCCGCCCAACGCCGCUGCGUGGAAGCGGCCGUGCCAUGCCGCCUUGCGGCCACGAGAGGGCAGCCGCGGGCCACAGAAACCCGGCCGCUCCCGGCUUCCCCGGCCUGCGCCUGCGCAGACCCGAAGUUGCCGCUGGCCCGCGCUUCCGGCUGCCGAGGCGGCCGCCCUUAUUUCAGGCUCAGAGCAGAAGGUGACUCCAGAGCUCGGCCAGGCACCGAUGAGAAGAAAAACACAGGAGAAGCACAUUGCCCAGGGCCACGGAACUUGCCAGUGAAGAGCAAACCAGGCGACUUGUUGGGCCCCUGCUUGCGACCCUGUCCUGGCAUCCCGGGUCUUGGAGAAAGUCAGCGCUCCCAAGGCCUCCAGGCCCACCAGCAUCGUCUGGCCCUGAUUGCUCUCCACCAUGCCCCACGCUCCUUGCAGCUCUUUCCCAAGUCCCGGCUGUGCACAUCCGGCUCCACGAUCCCAGCCUCGCCCAGCCUCUCUCAGCCUCUCUCUCUGCCCAGCGAACUCUUGCUUGUCUUCUAGGUGUUGGCUUAGAAAUCAUUCUCCCUGCAGUUUUCUAGGCCUUCCCUGCACUUCUCACACAACCCCGUGCAACACUGUAUCCCAGGGUAGCCCACAGAGAACCUCACCGGCUUGUUCACUUAUCUGAUCCAGAACACGAAAGGCCCACACUAGGUCUUAAUCAACAUGUCCCCUACAUCCAAACCCGUCCAUGAUAGGGACUCCAUAAAUAUGUAAUGAAUGGAUCCGAACUGCCCCAUGCAGUCCCCAAUUUCUGGGUCCAUGUAAUUUUCACCAUGUUGCCCACUGGCCCUUUCACUUUUGUAACUAAAAUAAGCAGAUGUAUGGCCUAGAAGAGUCUAUGCUACGUGGCAGAGGUGGGGAAACCAAAUGUCAGCACAAGAGCCUGCUCUUUUCUAAUUUCUGGGAGAAUAUUACCACGUUUCUUGCUUCUGAAGCCUGGAGAAUUUCCAACACGACAAACUCCCUACUUCUGUAGUCCAGAGCGUACUUUCUAAUUGAGUUAUUUUCAUUAUUCCACUCAGAGAAGUUAACUGCACCACAGGUUUCAAAGCAUGCAGUGGGAUUUACAGAGGUUGAGGGACUCCAUGAGUUCACUUGAACCAGAGCAACACGAUUUUAUUUUUUAUGAUGCAGGAAUUUCUUUUGGGGAAAGAAAAGGAGCCAAGAAUUCUAUUAAUGCUUUAAAAAUGUUUCAAGUGGGAGGAGGGUGUAGGGACAGGGAACUCUACUUUCUGCUGAAUUUUGCUGUGAACCUAAAAUUGUUCUAAAAAAAAAUACUGUUUAUUGAUUUCUUUAAAAAAUGUUUUAGAUGUCUACAUCACCAAAGGAUUAUGAAGUAGAGCAGCUGAAGAGCUGUGGACAAUUGUUAGCAACUAAUAUUUCCAAGGGCUGUACCUACAUCCCAGUGAAGCACAUAUUAGAGCUUCCCAACCUUUCCCUUUCCUUUUAUGUGGAGGCUAUUUAGUAUCACCUACUGUUUCUUGUUCCCCGACACCAG